AGACAGUGCAGAGACAAAGCGGGAAGCAGAGCUACUUCUUCUUGCGUUUAUGGCUCUGGAGCAAUUAUGGAGGAAUGGAGUUAGACUGAGGACGUUUCGAAAUAUGAAAUUCCGAUUGAUAAAGAAAUAUGGAGAGCAUCGCUUUAUAUGCUGCACAGAGACUUUAAAAUGCUGGAAACAUCAAAUAUAAGGAUCUAAUUUUUUCAGAGGGACGGGUGAGAUCUUUAACCGUCGACAUCCGCUGUGAUUGCGUCGUAAGUAAAAUAUCGUGUAGAGCAAUGCCACGGGAGAAAGAGUGCCGCAUCCACAUCUGCUCGACGUGAUAAGCAAGAAUAAGUGCGGGAAGAAAUUUUUUUACGGAAACGUUCGACACACGCGAGACGACGCGAUCCUCGCUCUUCUUUUUUCUUCUCUAAGAGAGAAGCCUUAAAAAGGAGAAGACGCAGGAAGCAGGAAACCAGGAUCCUGAGAAGCGAGGUUCGGCUGCCGGUCCUCGAAAGUGCUCCUCAAUCGUCGAACAAGCUUUUCAAGUGGUAUGCCUAAUUUCGUUCUAAUUCCGGCACUUGCCACUCGUUUUAAUUGCUUCUUAAGUUGGAAGUGCCGGCUUCUCUUCCGAUGCAGCAUAAGGACAACUUACCGGAAGAACAUAGUCGUGCCUACACUUGUGUCUUGGAAAUGAUCAUUAGCAUCGCGAAUUAUAUCAUUAUAGUAGUAUCUUGAAAAUUAUAUUAUUCACAAUAUAAUUAUAUUAUUUUCUGUAUCAUUGUAAGAAUAGAUAUAAAUCUAGAAAUUAUUUAUUUAGUACACUUGCACAUCAAAUUACAAAAUUGGGGUAAGGAGACGAUAGAUAUAGACCAGGUAGCUCGCAAGGUAUGCGAGGGGAUGAAUAUUUCAAUCUGUUAUACUCUUCCAUAUCUCCUUUCAUAUACCUCUGGGAAUACGGGGUAAGAGAUCGUUAAAGCGUUAAGGGAAGAUCGAGGAGCUCUGGCGGUGAAAUUACAUUUUUUAAUUAUGGCUGGAGCAAGUUCAUAAUUGGUGCUCACUACGCGGGGGAUGAAACUUAUUAGUCGGCAAGGCUUUACCGCGGCAGAGAAUGUAACAUGGCCGCCUUGCGGAAGGAUAUCGCCAGGGUUGUUUGCCAGGGACGCAGCUUCUAGUUGUGAAUCGCGAAUAUCCUACUACUUUACUAUUUUAUGCAAAUUACUUUGCUGCUCAUUGGAAAUGUUUCUUUAUUUAUCUUUAAUUUAAUCUUGUUCAUAUUGCAUCUGAAACUAAAAUAUUAUUUAUAAGUAAAUUUAUUUACUAACUUUUGUUAUUGUUUGUUAAUCAGUUUUAGAAUUAAAAAUGGAAGAAUAAUGCAAAUAUUUGUUACAGUUUUCGAAUAAAUACAUUUAAAGAAUAAAAAUCUGUUUUAUGAUACAAUUAUUUAGGGGUAUUUUGUAGUUUAUAAUUAAAUAGUGACAAUUAUUGAGUGAUUUUACAUACAUGUGUGUGGUGUAAACCACGAUCAUAAAAUAUCAUUAUUUUAGAUGUUAAAUAUUAUUACUAGACCUCGUUUGUUAAUUGGCGAAAAACGUCGUCUCAUCAUCUACGUACUAAUUUCAAGAUUAUUUGUACAAAUCUGGAAUGAUUGAUAAAUCGGAGAGAAUCCACGAAAGUAAGGAGAAUAGGAGCGUCCCUGACGCUAAUCUCGAGUUAGAUGGCAACAUUUUCUUGUAGACAGCGAAUAUACGAAUGAGCUCGUAGCGCCUCGCCGUUGCAACGUCCCAAGUAAAUGUAGGUGUAUAAUCUUGCGUAGGUGUAUGUUUGAACGUGUGUACAUCCGCGUGUCGUACAGCGGCGUUCAAGAAAGGUCAAGUAUUUACGGUAAAUCACAAGUAUAUUAACUUUAAUUAUAUUAGCAACGUUAUUUACUAAAUAAAAAAUAUAAUAGUAAUAAACAGAUGCCGAUAGAGCAAUUUUUAUCCAGAUUAAAUAUUCCAUUAAAGUUAAUUAAUUUUACCAUAAAAAGAAUUUGAUAGUUUUUUUUAUGGUUUCUCCUGUACAAAUGUACAGGAAAUACAUGGAUGUAAUAUAUGUAUAUAUACAUGUACCGUAAAAACCUGUAGUUGCACACGUAUAUAUUGUACGCUCGUGUGACUCCUAUUCGACGUGUCCGGUACGCGGGGAUAUCGUUGGGGAAGUAAGGAUCGAGGAUUGAGAGGGUGGGCUUCUCGGGCGUAAGGUGGUAGGUGGCAAUAAGGCGUUGGGCACCGCACUGUUACGACCUCUGAUCUGGCUAGCACACCAGAUGUUCUAUAUCCAUGUACGUACAACCCUCGGUAACAACUCCGGAACUGGAUACGUCAAAUAGAUUGGCGAGCUUGCGCAAGCGCGGAUACGCUAUGAUACAUCUUUAUCGUGUAAUGCGAAGGGAUGAAUUGUGUGAUCUGCGGAAAUGAUUUUGCGAAACGAACUCUUCGCGACAGAUUUCAGUUUCCGACAAAUGAUUUCGAACGUGAUAUGAUAAAUAAAAUAAUGUCGAUAAUUGCAAUCAUGUCAUUUAAAAGGAUUUGAUAUAAAUGUAAAGUUUAUGCAGGCUAUUAUAUAAAUUUCAAUCAAAAGACCACGUUACUGAUAGUCUUUCCAACAAAAUUAAUUUUCUUCAACAACACCUGCGCUUCAACAUUAUUUGUUUUCAACAUCAGCAAUUUGAAGUACAGAGUUGAGAAUAUAUGAUUUUUUAUAGGAAAAUAUUAAAAAACAUUGGUGACUCGUACAUUUUCAAGUAAUAUUAUUUUAUUAGACGUUCAUUCGACUCUAAACAAACUAAAGCGCUGAUCGCUUAAUUGAAACGAAAAGAGCAGUUUUGAUUUUGCUCAGGCGGAGCCUUUUGAAAACUGUCGUAAUAGCGUCGCAGCGCGCUGCUAUGAGGCGCGCUAUACACAUAUCGCGUACAUAACGCGUAUGUACAUCGAAACAUCCAGCGGCCAUGAUGGCUCUGGUCUCUCUCGCUUAUCGGCAUAGAGGGAGAGAGGAGAGAUAUCGGGUCGAUAUUUCGGUAGUGUUGAAGCGAGGAAGUACGUAAGCGUGUACCCCAUGUGUAGCAAACCAUGCAGACUGACAAGGGGGUUGUUGGGAGGGGAGGCUGUUUCACCACUCCUUGUUUCACAGCUCGUCGACGAUUGGCCGUGGCAGCGCGGCGCGUCGUGGGCGGUGCGAUUCGCUGGAGGACAAGAGAGACAGAGACAAAGAUAGAUGGAUAGAGAGAGAGAGAGAGAAAGGGGGAGAGGGAGAGAUAACGAGAGAGCAAGACUGUGAAUCUAAGAGUAUCUCUGGACGAUAGUAUAUGCAAUAUUAGGAGAGUGAGAUGGUGAGAUUAAGGACAAGGGCGACUAUAAACGGGUAGAUCGGACCCUUUCGUUCCGACAUGAUAUCAGUCGGGUCUGCGUACUCGCGCCUCUGCUUGUAUCUGACAGAUUAUUGACGCUGUUCAUCGUAUCGUUGGAUUGAAGGUAUAGUAAUCAAAAGAAUAGCACUGUUAUACUACAUAUCAAUUCUUCAUUCGACAUUGUCUUACGACGAAUUAUUUCGUGCAUGGUAUAUCAACAUCUCGAAUUACUGAACUGACCAAAAUUAUGUUCUCUGGAAGAUUACAAUCUGAUAAGUAUAAAAGUAUAUGAAAACCGUAAAAAGAGGGUUGUUAUUAUUAUAUCCCACAAAAUGUAUAUUUUAAUAAAUAUUAAUGGCAUAUGUAUUAUUGUAACAACAUUUUUUGUCAUUGAAUCAGUUAAAACGUUUGAUUAGAAUUUUAUGUCAAAUUUUACUUUUAUACUGCAUUCAGUAGAAACAAAUUAUUGCAUUUAGUAGAAACAAAUUAUUCGUCAACCAAGUAAUCACCAUCGUUGUCUGUGAUAUAGACUAAUGUCUAUUAUUACCAUUAUUGUUGCCUACAUUACAUGUGAUUGAUUUGAAGGAUUGAACCGAACUUUUUGACUUGUCCAUAUAAAUAAUGUAAUAAAUCAUAUAUGUAAUCAUCUAUACGCAAGCAUUUUAAAGUACAUUAUGAAAACUUUAUUGCAUGCAUAAAAAAGUAUAGUAUCUUUUAAUGUUUUUCUCAGGAGCAGUUAUAAUAUUCCCGAUUAAUUAUUUUUAAAAUGCCACUUUUGCUCUAAAAGUAUCACACAGUAGCUUUAUAAUAAAUAUUUUUUUGAUAUUUGAAGAAACAGUUAACCCUGUUUCUUCGUACGGAUAGAGCGGACAACAAAGAGAGGGGUGCGCUUCACCAAUCCUUGCUUCGUUGCUCGUUGAUGAUUGGCGGUAGCGCAGGGAGAGACCAGAGAUAUGCGACGAAGAAGGUGGGAGGACCAACGGUGUUACGUAGUGGGGAGAUAUGUACGCCGGGAUCUGCCAUAUCGGAUAAAGACGAAGAGCUGAGGUACGGGGGACCUUCCCCGUCUUCCCGCCUCUUCCUUUCCCGUUUCAUGAACGCUUCGCGAGUCAUGAACUGCCAUCAUCAAGCAUUCAUAACGUGUAGUGGCGCGUUUAUCAAAGGGGCUCCUUGCCACUUCUAUCUAGAAGAAGGCUUCGGGAACAUCUGCUCUCUCAAAGAGAGAUAUAUAAAAAAGAGACAGAAA